AGGAGCUUGCUCUUUUUGGAUGAGUUGCGAACGGGUGAGUAACGCGUAGGUAACCUGCCUUGUAGUGGGGGAUAACUAUUGGAAACGAUAGCUAAUACCGCAUAACAAUGACUAACACAUGUUAGUUAUUUAAAAGGGGCAACUGCUCCACUACAAGAUGGACCUGCGUUGUAUUAGCUAGUUGGUGAGGUAACGGCUCACCAAGGCGACGAUACAUAGCCGACCUGAGAGGGUGAUCGGCCACACUGGGACUGAGACACGGCCCAGACUCCUACGGGAGGCAGCAGUAGGGAAUCUUCGGCAAUGGGGGCAACCCUGACCGAGCAAUGCCGCGUGAGUGAAGAAGGUUUUCGGAUCGUAAAGCUCUGUUGUAAGAGAAGAACGAGUGUGAGAGUGGAAAGUUCACACUGUGACGGUAUCUUACCAGAAAGGGACGGCUAACUACGUGCCAGCAGCCGCGGUAAUACGUAGGUCCCAAGCGUUGUCCGGAUUUAUUGGGCGUAAAGCGAGCGCAGGCGGUUUGAUAAGUCUGAAGUUAAAGGCUGUGGCUCAACCAUAGUUCGCUUUGGAAACUGUCAAACUUGAGUGCAGAAGGGGAGAGUGGAAUUCCAUGUGUAGCGGUGAAAUGCGUAGAUAUAUGGAGGAACACCGGUGGCGAAAGCGGCUCUCUGGUCUGUAACUGACGCUGAGGCUCGAAAGCGUGGGGAGCGAACAGGAUUAGAUACCCUGGUAGUCCACGCCGUAAACGAUGAGUGCUAGGUGUUGGGUCCUUUCCGGGAUUCAGUGCCGCAGCUAACGCAUUAAGCACUCCGCCUGGGGAGUACGACCGCAAGGUUGAAACUCAAAGGAAUUGACGGGGGCCCGCACAAGCGGUGGAGCAUGUGGUUU
rnacentral:rRNA from 1 species